rnacentral:sRNA from 1 species
UUUUUUUGUUGUUUUUUU